CCUGCCUGCCAGACUCCCCCCUCCACCUGCCCCCAGAUCCUCAACAAAUGCAUGCGGCUGGGAGGGGGCAGGCGGUGGGUGGGACACAUUUGCAUCCAUAAACCCUCCCCUGUGAUCCUGGUGGAGGUAUAAGAGAGGCCUAGGAUCCCGGUCCUGCUCAGGAGGACCGUGUCCACCAUGGCCUGGGCCUCUCUCCUCCUUCUCCUCCUCUGCUACUUCUCAGGUUCCCUCUCCCAGCCUGUGCUGACUCAGCCGUCCUCCCUCUCUGCCUCUCCUGGAGCAUCAGCCAGACUCACCUGCACCCUGAGCAGCGGCUUUGUUGUUGGUGGCUAUCACAUGUCCUGGUACCAGCAGAAGCCAGGGAGCCCUCCCCGGUAUCUCCUGAGGUUCAAGUCUGACUCAGAUAAGCAUCAGGGCUCUGGGGUUUCCAGCCGCUUCUCUGGAUCUAAAGAUGCCUCGGCCAAUGCAGGGAUCCUGUACAUCUCCGGGCUGCAGGCAGAGGAUGAGGCUGACUAUUACCGUGGCACAUUACAUACCAACAGUGGCAAGUACACAGUGCUUCAGACCCAGGCGGAAGUGACAGAAAACCUCCCCUGUGUUCUCCCUGCCUGGUGCAGACACUGAUGCCCUCCCUGCCUGGGGCUGAAUCAAGCUAAGGGUUAGUUUUCUAGGAAUUGCACUUGUGGAAUUGUGAAGUUUUCUUGUUAUUGUUAUUGCCAUAAAAUGUCAAUUUUAUCUACUGUUAUUAUCUUCACACAUUUAUUAUGUCUACAUGUUGAGUAAAUCUUUUUUUUUUUUUUUGAGACAGAGUCUCACUCCGUUGCCCUGGGUAGACAGAGCUAUUUAUAAAUAGCCCAAUAAGUGGUAUUAUAGCAUUAUAGCUCACAGCAAAUUCAAACUCUUGGGGCUCAAGUGAUUCUCCCAAACUCCUGAGCUCCAGCAAUCCACCCUCCUCCACCUCCCAUAGAGCUAGGAUUACCAUUGUG